CUUCUCUUUAUGAAUUACCGAAGUUGAAGAAGAGCUGCAUGCGGUAUCUUGUGAAGUUUGGUAAGAUCUUUGAAAUGCGAGGGGAAUUUGAUGCUUUCCUGCAAUGUGCAGAUAGAGAAGUGAUUUCUGAAAUCUUCCAUGAAGUUCUCGCUGCCUGGAAAGGAUUCUGAAUGACAGCUGAUGGGGAAAAACAAAAGUUUAUAGCUUGUUUAAGCCCAUAUGCUGCAGUGCUAGUGCACAGAUUUGUUUCCCUGAACAAACAUUCUUUUACUGGAUGCAAUUAGUUUGUGUACAUGUACAGAAAUUGAUUCCAGUUCAGUUGAUAUUGCUCUUCUGAUAUUGGAUAUGUAUGUUCUUGAACUGAACUUGUCUACAAAUGCAGGAUGAUAGAAGGAUUUAUAUUCAGCAAACUACACUAGUCCAAGUACGACUGUUUAAUUUUGACAUGUGACCUAGGUGUACUUGUGGAACAGCAUAUGUUCUAGCUUCGCUGUAACCCCCAUAAAAAGGAAAAUAAAAAGUUCUGCUGCUUUCAAAUGCGUGAGACUGUAUUCAUGAAGAGCAUCUAAUUUGUCCUACUCGAUGCAUAUGAUCGAGUAAAGGCUGCUUCUAGACUAGAAAAAAACAGAGAUGAUUGAAGUUGUACUAGGAUUGAUCAAAGCAGCGACAUACUUGGGAACAUCAAAUGGCCAGUAAACCAUCACUUACAAAGCCUCUUUGACUAAAUAAAGAAAGGGGAAAAGGCCAAACCAUGACCAUACAAAUCUUAUUCACCGAAUCAUUCAUGCCAGAGUUGAAAUAGAUGAGGGUCAUUUCCAAACCUGAAAGUUCCUUACUUUUGCAACCCAAUAAUUCUGAGAGUAAUGUUGGGCCAUUAUUGAGGGAAUUGACUCUUAACUACCGUAUCUCAAGAACCUGAAGUGAAUGUUGACAGCGGCGUUCCGGCUAAAGCUGGGAAGGCUGUAGUCUUCGUCACGGUCAGGCUGGCCUCCCAGUUCAGUAACGUGGGAGAGGGACGUUAACUAAUACUAACUGGUACUACCAAUUCAGACCAGUUACUUUCAUUCAGUACCAAAUUAGAGGAUUUUUUUUGCCCCUUUUGCAUUGCAAAAUGAAUAUAGCACAGAAAAAUACAUAUAUUGAUGGAGUAGAUUUAUUGGUCACAAGUCACAAUCAAAACCACCAAGAAGUGGCCCCCUCUGGCGACUUCCAUAUUGUUAUAUCUUAUUAUAUAUAUAUUUUCUAAAUAAUUAGUGGUUGUUAGUUUUAGAAUAAAACGGCUUCUCUUGGUAGACUGGAAUGUAUUUACCAACAAGCAUAUCAGGACAUGUCACCAAACUUGAUAAUUUACGUGCGAGUGAUGGGCAGCACUUGCAUUACAAGUAGUCUAGGAGUAUGAUUUGUCACCCUCUAAAGAAAAAAAAAAGUAGUAUGAUUUGUCGGAAACCUUUACAGCUGAAGUGAUAGAUGGAUAGAAAGAUGAAAGAAAACCAACCAAAGCAAUCGCUAGUUUGUUUCUUCUAUCCGCAAUUUGCCCAAGUGAAAAUUGAAAGGAAAGGAACAAAACAAAAAAACUGCUGGAAAGAGAACCUGGUACAGUUUAAGACCCAAAAGGAACAGUAAAUUGGGGAAUUGAUUUACCUUUGGAAGACACAAAAAACUACGCCAACCUGGUGUCAGUUGCUUAGCUAAUUUCUUCCCCUGUUGUUCAGUGGCAUAUGUAUCCCACCAGAUGGAGAGUUUGAUCUGGGAGGAGUCAGGAACAACGUUAACGUGUUGAUCCCUGUGCUUUCAGACUGAGAACGUUUCUUUAUAUGGGAUUCACGGUCUCGAAUGGAUAGAAU
rnacentral:lncRNA from 1 species